rnacentral:rRNA from 1 species
GAUGAACGCUGGCGGCGUGCCUAAUACAUGCAAGUCGAGCGAACAGACGAGGAGCUUGCUCCUCUGACGUUAGCGGCGGACGGGUGAGUAACACGUGGAUAACCUACCUAUAAGACUGGGAUAACUUCGGGAAACCGGAGCUAAUACCGGAUAAUAUAUUGAACCGCAUGGUUCAAUAGUGAAAGACGGUUUUGCUGUCACUUAUAGAUGGAUCCGCGCCGCAUUAGCUAGUUGGUAAGGUAACGGCUUACCAAGGCAACGAUGCGUAGCCGACCUGAGGGGGUGAUCGGCCACACUGGAACUGAAACACGGUCCAGACUCCUACGGGAGGCAGCAGUAGGGAAUCUUCCGCAAUGGGCGAAAGCCUGACGGAGCAACGCCGCGUGAGUGAUGAAGGUCUUCGGAUCGUAAAACUCUGUUAUUAGGGAAGAACAAAUGUGUAAGUAACUAUGCACGUCUUGACGGUACCUAAUCAGAAAGUCACGGCUAACUACGUG